GGCGACAUGGCCAAGCGGUAAGGCAGGAGACUGCAAAUCUCCUAUCCCCAGUUCAAAUCUGGGUGUCGCCU
rnacentral:tRNA from 2 species